rnacentral:snoRNA from 1 species
UUUUGGCAGUGAUGAUUAAUUUACAGCUUUACGCCAGUUCUGCUACUGAUAAUUCUUGAUUGAUAGAGCUGUCAUAUCUCUGAGCCAUAU